rnacentral:rRNA from 1 species
UGGGGAAUAUUGCGCAAUGGGGGGAACCCUGACGCAGCCAUGCCGCGUGAAUGAAGAAGGCCUUAGGGUUGUAAAGUUCUUUCGGUAUUGAGGAAGGUUGAUGUGUUAAUAGCACAUCAAAUUGACGUUAAAUACAGAAGAAGCACCGGCUAACUCCGUGCCAGCAGCCGCGGUAAUACGGAGGGUGCGAGCGUUAAUCGGAAUAACUGGGCGUAAAGAGCACGCAGGCGGUUAUUUAAGUGAGGUGUGAAAGCCCUGGGCUUAACCUAGGAAUUGCAUUUCAGACUGGGUAACUAGAGUACUUUAGGGAGGGGUAGAAUUCCACGUGUAGCGGUGAAAUGCGUAGAGAUGUGGAGGAAUACCGAAGGCGAAGGCAGCCCCUUGGGAAUGUACUGACGCUCAUGUGCGAAAGCGUGGGAAGCAAACAGGAUUAGAUACCCUGGUAGUCCACGCUGUAAACGCUGUCGAUUUGGGGGUUGGGGUUUAACUCUGGCGCCCGUAGCUAACGUGAUAAAUCGACCGCCUGGGGAGUACGGCCGCAAGGUUA